rnacentral:rRNA from 1 species
GCGCAGCAGGCGCGAAACCUCCGCAAUGCGGGAAACCGUGACGGGGUCACCCCGAGUGCCACCCGAUGAGGGUGGCUUUUCCCCGGUCUAAAAAGCCGGGGGCAAUAAGCGGGGGGCAAGUCUGGUGUCAGCCGCCGCGGUAAUACCAGCCCCGCGAGUGGUCGGGACGUUUAUUGGGCCUAAAGCGUCCGUAGCCGGCUCGGUAAGUCCCUCCUUAAAUCCACGGGCUCAACCCGUGGGCUGGGAGGGAUACUGCCGGGCUAGGGGGCGGGAGAGGCCGAGGGUACUCCCGGGGUAGGGGCGAAAUCCGUUAAUCCCGGGAGGACCACCAGUGGCGAAGGCGCUCGGCUGGAACGCGCCCGACGGUGAGGGACGAAAGCUGGGGGAGCAAAGGGGAUUAGAUACCCGCGUAGU